rnacentral:snoRNA from 1 species
AAGACUAUACUUUCAGGGAUCAUUUCUAUAGUUCAUUACUAGAGAAGUUUGUCUGAAUGUUUAAUGUUGAUUUAUUUUUGAGAGAGAGAGAGAGGGAGACACAAA